rnacentral:rRNA from 1 species
GCAGAAGAGGACAGUGGAACUCCAUGUGUAGCGGUGAAAUGCGUAGAUAUAUGGAAGAACACCAGUGGCGAAGGCGGCUGUCUGGUCUGUAACUGACGCUGAGGCUCGAAAGCAUGGGUAGCGAACAGGAUUAGAUACCCUGGUAGUCCAUGCCGUAAACGAUGAGUGCUAAGUGUUGGAGGGUUUCCGCCCUUCAGUGCUGCAGCUAACGCAUUAAGCACUCCGCCUGGGGAGUACGACCGCAAGGUUGAAACUCAAAGGAAUUGACGGGGGCCCGCACAAGCGGUGGAGCAUGUGGUUUAAUUCGAAGCUACGCGAAGAACCUUACCAGGUCUUGACAUCUUCUGCCAAUCUUAGAGAUAAGACGUUCCCUUCGGGGACAGAAUGACAGGUGGUGCAUGGUUGUCGUCAGCUCGUGUCGUGAGAUGUUGGGUUAAGUCCCGCAACGAGCGCAACCCUUAUUAUCAGUUGCCAGCAUUCAGUUGGGCACUCUGGUGAGACUGCCGGUGACAAACCGGAGGAAGGUGGGGAUGACGUCAAAUCAUCAUGCCCCUUAUGACCUGGGCUACACACGUGCUACAAUGGACGGUACAACGAGUUGCGAAGUCGUGAGGCUAAGCUAAUCUCUUAAAGCCGUUCUCAGUUCGGAUUGUAGGCUGCAACUCGCCUACAUGAAGUUGGAAUCGCUAGUAAUCGCGGAUCAGCAUGCCGCGGUGAAUACGUUCCCGGGCCUUGUACACACCGCCCGUCACACCAUGAGAGUUUGUAACACCCAAAGCCGGUGAGAUAACCUUCGGGAGUCAGCCGUCUAAGGUGGGACAGAUGAUUAGGGUGAAGUCGUAACAAGGUAGCCGUA